CGUUGGAUUUUCAAACCACUCCGUACAAGUGUUAGCUAAGGAGGACUAGAGGUCUCGGUAGAGUUGUUUUUGGAGGGGAAGCCUUAAGUGUCCACCUUUCUUGAGUUAUAAGGUGAGUUCCUAAGGAAGUUCUUGUUUUGUUUUAAUAAUGGUAUAUUAGUGGUUUGUAAAGGGUAAUUAUGCCAUGUUGUGGAUGAUUUCAUGAUUUUAGGUCAAGUUGGACCAUUUUCUGAUUUAUUGGGGAUUUUUCUGAUUUUAUAUGAAAGUCAAGGAUUGGUCUUGGAUUGAUGGAUUGAAAUGGUGUUAAAUGGAACUUUUAUGCAUUAAUUACGAUCGUUUGUGGAAAAUUUCCGCUUGUGGUGUGAAUUUCCGGUUCUAGGGUUUUGAAAUUGGGGGUUUUCUAUGGUUGGCUUAUAAGCUUUUAAUUGGCCUAGAUUGAAAGGUUUUGUGGCCUAAUUGGAUGUAUUUUAUUGCUUGUUAACCGUAUAUGUGAUGAUAGUUACUUGUUAUGAUAUUGGGUAUUUGAUUGCAAGGUGAAAUAAAGAAUUUAGGGGGGAAUGCCGUCCAUUUAUUUUCUUGUAAUGUGAAUGAGUUAAAAUGAUUUUGGAAAUGUGUUUUGUGUCAAGUUGGGCGUAUUUCAUGGAAAACCAUAUUGGUGCCCUUAAAGGGUGUUCGAAAAGCUACUUCCUAUUUGAACUCCUAUAUUUCCGCUUGGUGAAUAUCAUGAUCAUUUUACCAUUUUAAAACAUGAUACCUCUUCCGUUUGAAACUUUAAAUGGUUAUUUACUCCAUACCAAAAUAAAGAGGUAUGAGUUAGGGCUUUCUCGGCCACAAGUGAAUUAUUUUCAAGUGAGGUUUUAAGUGUAGAAGUUAAGGUAUUUUGUUCACCUUUUUACAUGUUUUUUAUCAAGACAUUUAGUCUAUAAUAUCUACUUGAAUAUGAGAUGAUUUUGAACCACAUAAACGAUCCCGAAAACAAUAUUUCUUAGUCUAUCGAGUUGGAUUCCGACUUGUCUUUGGUUCAAGUGUUUUUCGUUGGAAAUUUUAUAAUCCUUUUAAGUUUGGUUUUGCGUUUGGUUUAUGAAACCCUAGUUAUUUCCAUCCACCGGUCCAAAUGUCCUCGUUUCACUUUAAAGUCAUUUUUAUACGUUCUAUUCAUCAUUUAUCGGGUUUCUUCGAUUUCACUUAAUUGUUUUGUUAGAUGAACUGUAAUAUUUGCUUUCGUUUAAUCUUAGGUUUCGUUGGUGACUGAGGGUAAUAUCCGGAGGGAUUUUUUGGACAUUAUUUUUGCGUACAUAGGUGAGUGUUUCUUGCUUGUUAUGUUUUCUUGAUUAUAUGGCUUGUAUGAAUGAUUGAUAACAUGUUAAAUGCGUUCACUGAUUGCCAAAACGAGUUUUCUAGGCGGGUGUGUACUUUAUCGCACUCGACCUAAAUGAAGGUGAAAUUUUCAUUGAUUUAAUGAUUGAAACGUUACUUGUGCAUGAAUGUAAGACUUUUGGCUGAACUGGGCCCUGCCCUUUGUUACCGAUCGACUCGAGCCAGAAGCGGACUCGGUCGGGCGAUAUGGUGACCCUAGGUAACUGUUUGAUAUACUCGAGUAUUACCUUAAAAUCUAGUGGAGCCUGGCCAAUGUCCGGGAAGGGGGUGAAUGAAAUGAACGAACGAAUGUCAAUGUAAAUGAUGGGUUUUACUUAUCAAAAUGUAUUUUCAAAUGAUUGGAGGAAUAAAGGAAUAAAAGGAGAACGAAUGAAUGAAUGAACGAAUGAAUGGCUCCCUAUGAGCACGUAUCCUU
rnacentral:lncRNA from 1 species